rnacentral:rRNA from 1 species
GGGUCCCUACGGGGCGCAGCAGUGGGGAAUAUUGCACAAUGGGGGAAACCCUGAUGCAGCGACGCCGCGUGAGUGAAGAAGUAUUUCGGUAUGUAAGGCUCUAUCAGCAGGGAAGAAAAAAGACGGUACCUGAGUAAGAAGCCCCGGCUAACUACGUGCCAGCAGCCGCGGUAAUACGUAGGGGGCAAGCGUUAUCCGGAUUUACUGGGUGUAAAGGGAGCGUAGACGGCUGUGCAAGUCUGAAGUGAAAUGCCGGGGCUCAACCCCGGAACUGCUUUGGAAACUGUAC